AGGGAAUCUUCGGCAAUGGGGGCAACCCUGACCGAGCAACGCCGCGUGAGUGAAGAAGGUUUUCGGAUCGUAAAGCUCUGUUGUAAGUCAAGAACGGGUGUGAGAGUGGAAAGUUCACACUGUGACGGUAGCUUACCAGAAAGGGACGGCUAACUACGUGCCAGCAGCCGCGGUAAUACGUAGGUCCCGAGCGUUGUCCGGAUUUAUUGGGCGUAAAGCGAGCGCAGGCGGUUUGAUAAGUCUGAAGUUAAAGGCUGUGGCUCAACCAUAGUUCGCUUUGGAAACUGUCAAACUUGAGUGCAGAAGGGGAGAGUGGAAUUCCAUGUGUAGCGGUGAAAUGCGUAGAUAUAUGGAGGAACACCGGUGGCGAAAGCGGCUCUCUGGUCUGUAACUGACGCUGAGGCUCGAAAGCGUGGGGAGCGAACAGGAUUAGAUACCCUGGUAGUCCACGCCGUAAACGAUGAGUGCUAGGUGUUGGAUCCUUUCCGGGAUUCAGUGCCGCAGCUAACGCAUUAAGCACUCCGCCUGGGGAGUACGACCGCAAGGUUGAAAC
rnacentral:rRNA from 1 species